AUUGAACGCUGGCGGCAGGCCUAACACAUGCAAGUCGAAUGGUAACAGGAAACAGCUUGCUGUUUCGCUGACGAGUGGCGGACGGGUGAGUAAUGUCUGGGAAACUGCCUGAUGGAGGGGGAUAACUACUGGAAACGGUAGCUAAUACCGCAUAACGUCGCAAGACCAAAGAGGGGGACCUUCGGGCCUCUUGCCAUCAGAUGUGCCAGAUGGGAUUAGCUAGUAGGUGGGGUAACGGCUCACCUAGGCGACGAUCCCUAGCUGGUCUGAGAGGAUGACCAGCCACACUGGAACUGAGACACGGUCCAGACUCCUACGGGAGGCAGCAGUGGGGAAUAUUGCACAAUGGGCGCAAGCCUGAUGCAGCCAUGCCGCGUGUAUGAAGAAGGCCUUCGGGUUGUAAAGUACUUUCAGCGGGGAGGAAGGGAGUAAAGUUAAUACCUUUGCUCAUUGACGUUACCCGCAGAAGAAGCACCGGCUAACUCCGUG
rnacentral:rRNA from 1 species